rnacentral:rRNA from 1 species
CGUAGGGUGCAAGCGUUAAUCGGAAUUACUGGGCGUAAAGCGUGCGCAGGCGGUUUCGUAAGUCUGUCGUGAAAUCCCCGGGCUCAACCUGGGAAUGGCGAUGGAGACUGCGAGGCUAGAGUUUGGCAGAGGGGGUAGAAUUCCACGUGUAGCAGUGAAAUGCGUAGAGAUGUGGAGGAACACCGAUGGCGAAGGCAGCCCCCUGGGUCAAAACUGACGCUCAUGCACGAAAGCGUGGGGAGCAAACAGGAUUAGAUACCCUGGUAGUCCACGCCCUAAACGAUGUCUACUAGUUGUUGGGUCUUAAUUGACUUAGUAACGCAGCUAACGCGUGAAGUAGACCGCCUGGGGAGUACGGUCGCAAGAUUA